ACUAAUGGUCAUUUCUAGGUUUGAAUUAAGUCAUGAUCCUAAGUUGUCUUAGGUGAUGUUCUUUCUGCAUAGAUCCCUUAUAAAAGAUUCCUUUCCCAGUGACAGAUGACAAGUAGCUCAUAAUAGCUGUCAUAAACUAUUCUGUAAAAAUCAUUUAUCUUUCCAUCCUUCUCUGCAUUAUCACUUUUAUUUUCAGGCACUGCAAAAAUGGCCUCAUUUUCGAUGGCAGGUAUUACUGGAAGGGUCAUCCUGUCUGUGUGUGUUCCAUAUCACCCCCACCUGCUGGUAGUCAUCAGUGGGUCCCCAGUGCUGGGGAUGUGGUUUUCUCUUCUCAGUGAUGGCCUCAUGGGUAAUGGUGAAGCCGAUUCUUAUGAUUUAGGCGUCGUUAUGUGUCAUUACCCACUGCAAUGGCAUAACGCACCGAGAUUAGCUUGCAAGACAAUCCUUCACGGUGAUGGCUGGCAGGCGCCACACUGAGAGAUCCUGGGACUGAACUUUUCACCCAAAGAAAUGCAGGAAGCCGUCCUGUUGGGCAGUCACUUACUGUGCUGUGCCUUGGAUCAUGGAGUUUUAGAGCCGGAGGGGAAAUACCUAUAAUGAAAGCAAUAAUUUUUACUUACUCGCAAAGACCUGUCUCAAAAUAGUAGACUACGCUUGGCAGGCAAGAAGGCAAUCUUGAUUUUUCAUGUCCCAUAAACAAGGCAACAAGCUCUUUUGUGAGGAGGUAAAAUAAAGGCUUCGUUUUUCAGUG